rnacentral:rRNA from 1 species
GCUCCCUGAUGUUAGCGGCGGACGGGUGAGUAACACGUGGGUAACCUGCCUGUAAGACUGGGAUAACUCCGGGAAACCGGGGCUAAUACCGGAUGGUUGUUUGAACCGCAUGGUUCAGACAUAAAAGGUGGCUUCGGCUACCACUUACAGAUGGACCCGCGGCGCAUUAGCUAGUUGGUGAGGUAACGGCUCACCAAGGCAACGAUGCGUAGCCGACCUGAGAGGGUGAUCGGCCACACUGGGACUGAGACACGGCCCAGACUCCUACGGGAGGCAGCAGUAGGGAAUCUUCCGCAAUGGACGAAAGUCUGACGGAGCAACGCCGCGUGAGUGAUGAAGGUUUUCGGAUCGUAAAGCUCUGUUGUUAGGGAAGAACAAGUGCCGUUCAAAUAGGGCGGCACCUUGACGGUACCUAACCAGAAAGCCACGGCUAACUACGUGCCAGCAGCCCGCGGUAAUACGUAGGUGGCAAGCGUUGUCCGGAAUUAUUGGGCGUAAAGGGCUCGCAGGCGGUUUCUUAAGUCUGAUGUGAAAGCCCCCGGCUCAACCGGGGGAGGGUCAUUGGAAACUGGGGAACUUGAGUGCAGAAGAGGAGAGUGGAAUUCCACGUGUAGCGGUGAAAUGCGUAGAGAUGUGGAGGAACACCAGUGGCGAAGGCGACUCUUCUGGUCUGUAACUGACGCUGAGGAGCGAAAGCGUGGGGAGCGAACAGGAUUAGAUACCCUGGUAGUCCACGCCGUAAACGAUGAGUGCUAAGUGUUAGGGGGGUUUCCGCCCCUUAGUGCUGCAGCUAACGCAUUAAGCACUCCGCCUGGGGAGUACCGGUCGCAAGACUGAAACUCAAAGGAAUUGACGGGGGCCCGCACAAGCGGUGGAGCAUGUGGUUUAAUUCGAAGCAACGCGAAGAACCUUACCAGGUCUUGACAUCCUCUGACAAUCCUAGAGAUAGGACGUCCCCUUCGGGGGCAGAGUGACAGGUGGUGCAUGGUUGUCGUCAGCUCGUGUCGUGAGAUGUUGGGUUAAGUCCCCGCAACGAGCGCAACCCUUGAUCUUAGUUGCCAGCAUUCAGUUGGGCACUCUAAGGUGACUGCCGGUGACAAACCGGAGGAAGGUGGGGAUGACGUCAAAUCAUCAUGCCCCUUAUGACCUGGGCUACACACGUGCUACAAUGGACAGAACAAAGGGCAGCGAAACCGCGAGGUUAAGCCAAUCCCACAAAUCUGUUCUCAGUUCGGAUCGCAGUCUGCAACUCGACUGCGUGAAGCUGGAAUCGCUAGUAAUCGCGGAUCAGCAUGCCCGCGGUGAAUACGUUCCCGGGCCUUGUACACACCGCCCGUCACACCACGAGAGUUUGUAACACCCGAAGUCGGUGAGGUAACCUUUUUGGAGCCAGCCGCCGAAGGUGGGACAGAUGAU